UGAAUCAAUUGAAAUGGAAAUGGGGAGUAAAACAUCCAUGACAAAUUUGAAUAAGACUCUCCCUUUGUAGUGUGAUUAAGAUAUGUUGGAAGGUUGCUUUGUGAAGGCUUUUGGAAGAAUGGAUGCAGCAUAUUUUUUGCAAGGAUAUUAUCUCUAUGUGUAUUUUUGUGAUGGGUUGUAAUCUUUAAUGUCAUAAGUUUAAUUUGGUUUGUGUAUUAUUUUUUGUAAUGGUUUGUAAGAGAUUAUAUUUCCUUUC